CUUGCUCCUUUGACGUUAGCGGCGGACGGGUGAGUAACACGUGGAUAACCUACCUAUAAGACUGGGAUAACUUCGGGAAACCGGAGCUAAUACCGGAUAAGAUUUUGAACCGCAUGGUUCAAUAGUGAAAGACGGCCUUGCUGUCACUUAUAGAUGGAUCCGCGCCGUAUUAGCUAGUUGGUAAGGUAACGGCUUACCAAGGCAACGAUACGUAGCCGACCUGAGAGGGUGAUCGGCCACACUGGAACUGAGACACGGUCCAGACUCCUACGGGAGGCAGCAGUAGGGAAUCUUCCGCAAUGGGCGAAAGCCUGACGGAGCAACGCCGCGUGAGUGAUGAAGGUCUUCGGAUCGUAAAACUCUGUUAUCAGGGAAGAACAAACGUGUAAGUAACUGUGCACGUCUUGACGGUACCUGAUCAGAAAGCCACGGCUAACUACGUGCCAGCAGCCGCGGUAAUACGUAGGUGGCAAGCGUUAUCCGGAAUUAUUGGGCGUAAAGCGCGCGUAGGCGGUUUUUUAAGUCUGAUGUGAAAGCCCACGGCUCAACCGUGGAGGGUCAUUGGAAACUGGAAAACUUGAGUGCAGAAGAGGAAAGUGGAAUUCCAUGUGUAGCGGUGAAAUGCGCAGAGAUAUGGAGGAACACCAGUGGCGAAGGCGACUUUCUGGUCUGUAACUGACGCUGAUGUGCGAAAGCGUGGGGAUCAAACAGGAUUAGAUACCCUGGUAGUCCACGCCGUAAACGAUGAGUGCUAAGUGUUAGGGGGUUUCCGCCCCUUAGUGCUGCAGCUAACGCAUUAAGCACUCCGCCUGGGGAGU
rnacentral:rRNA from 1 species